rnacentral:rRNA from 1 species
CCUACGGGAGGCAGCAGUGAGGAAUAAUGGACAAUGGACGAGAGUCUGAACGAGCCAAGUAGCGUGAAGGAUGAAAGCCAUAUGGGUUGUAAACUUCUGUUAUAGGGGAAUAAAAUGUAACAAGAGUGGGAUAUUGUAUGUACAAUAUGAAUAAGGAUCGGCUAACUCCGUGCCAGCAGCCGCGGUAAUACGGAGGAUCCGCGCGUUAUCCGGAUUUAUUGGGUUUAAAGGGAGCGUAGGUGGUUUGUUAAGUCAGUUGUGAAAGUUUUCGGCUCAACCGUAAAAUUGCAGUUGAAACUGGCAGUCUUGAGUACUGUAGAGGUAGCCGGAAUUCGUGGUGUAGCGGUGAAAUGCUUAGAUAUCACGAAGAACUCCGGUUGCGAAGGCAGUUCACUGGACUGCAACUGACACUGAGGCUCGAAAGUGUGGGUAUCAAACAGGAUUAGAUACCCGUGUAGUC